UACGGGGGGGGGCAAGCGUUUGUUCGGAAUUACUGGGCGUAAAGGGCCAGUAGGCGGCCGGCUAAGUCCGACGUGAAAUCCCCAGGCUUAACCUGGGAACUGCGUCGGAUACUGGCUGGCUUGAAUUCGGGAGAGGGAUGCAGAAUUCCAGGUGUAGCGGUGAAAUGCGUAGAUAUCGAGAGGAACACCUGCGGCGAAGGCGGGUUGCUGGGCUGAUACUGACGCUGAGGCGCGAAAGCCAGGGGAGCGAACGGGG
rnacentral:rRNA from 1 species